UCCGGUUUACCACCGGCAGUCUCCCUAGAGUGCUCGGCAUGACCCGUUAGCAACUAGGGACAAGGGUUGCGCUCGUUGCGGGACUUAACCCAACAUCUCACGACACGAGCUGACGACAGCCAUGCAGCACCUGUGUUCCGGUUCCCUUUCGGGCACCCCCGCCUUUCAGCAGGCUUCCGGACAUGUCAAGGGUAGGUAAGGUUGUUCGCGUUGCAUCGAAUUAAUCCACAUCAUCCACCGCUUGUGCGGGUCCCCGUCAAUUCCUUUGAGUUUUAACCUUGCGGCCGUACUCCCCAGGCGGUCAACUUCACGCGUUAGCUACGGUACUGAGGAAUCGCUCCCCCAACACCCAGUUGACAUCGUUUAGGGCGUGGACUAC
rnacentral:misc_RNA from 1 species